UUAUUAAAUAUUAAUAAAUUAAGGUAAAAUUAAGUUAUUAAGAAUUAAUAAAAAUUUAAUUUUUUGACAUUUACAAAUUUUUUUUAUAAACUAGGAUUUGAUACCCUACUAUUUCUCAAAUAAUAAACUUAUAUAACCAGUAAUUGCUAAUCAUUAAAAUUUAAGAAUUUGACGGUAUUUUAUUCAAUUUAAAGGAACUUAUUAAUUAAUUGAUAAUACACGAUAAGAAUAACUUUAAAAAUUUUUCUUAUGUAUGUUUGUUUAAGAAAAUAUUUCUAAAUUUUUAAUUUUCAUAAAAUUCUAUAAAAAUUAUAAUUCAGAUCAAUAUAUAGAUAAUCUUAAAGUUUAAAUGAGUUACAAUUAAUUUUAUUAUUAGAUAUUAAAAUUUAAAUUUUAAUAGAAAUUGGAUUUAAAAGUAAAAUUUAUUAAUUUAUAAAUUUGAUUAUGUUUUUAAAAUAUGUACUUAUUGCCCGUCACUUUCAUUUAUAUUAUUUUAAUUAAAUUUUUAUUUAAUAAAUUUAAUUAAAUGAAAAAAGUCGUAACAAAGUAAAAAUACUGGAAAGUAUUUUUAGAAUU
rnacentral:rRNA from 1 species